rnacentral:rRNA from 1 species
UUGACCUCAAAUCAGGUAGGACUACCCGCUGAACUUAAGCAUAUCAAUAAGCGGAGGAAAAGAAACUAACAAGGAUUCCCCUAGUAACUGCGAGUGAAGCGGGAAAAGCUCAAAUUUAAAAUCUGGCGGUCUUUAGGUCGUCCGAGUUGUAAUCUGGAGAAGUGUUUUCCGCGCUGGACCGUGUACAAGUCUCUUGGAACAGAGCGUCAUAGAGGGUGAGAAUCCCGUCUUUGACACGGACWACCAGUGCUAUGUGAUGCGCUCUCGAAGAGUCGAGUUGUUUGGGAAUGCAGCUCAAAAUGGGUGGUAAAUUCCAUCUAAAGCUAAAUAUUGGCGAGAGACCGAUAGCGAACAAGUACCGUGAGGGAAAGAUGAAAAGCACUUUGGAAAGAGAGUUAAACAGUACGUGAAAUUGUUGAAAGGGAAACGCUUGAAGUCAGUCGCGUCUGCCGAGGAUCAGCCUUGCUCUUUUGCUUGGUGCACUCUUGGCUGGACGGGUCAGCAUCAAUUUUGACCAUUGGAUAAAGAUCAGAGAAAGGUGGCUCUUUCGGGAGUGUUAUAGUCCUUGGUCGCAUACAAUGGUUGGGAUUGAGGAACUCAGCACGCCUUUAUGGCCGGGGUUCGCCCACGUWCGUGCUUAGGAUGCUGGCAUAAUGGCUUUAAGCGACCCGUCUUGAAACACGGACCAAGGAGUCUAACAUGCCCGCGAGUGUUUGGGUGGAAAACCCGGACGCGUAAUGAAAGUGAAAGUUGAGACCUCUGUCGUGGAGGGCAUCGACGCCCGGACCAGACCUUUUGUGACGGUUCCGCGGUAGAGCGUGUAUGUUGGGACCCGAAAGAUGGUGAACUAUGCCUGAAUAGGGUGAAGCCAGAGGAAACUCUGGUGGAGGCUCGUAGCGAUUCUGACGUGCAAAUCGAUCGUCAAAUUUGGGUAUAGGGGCGAAAGACUAAUCGAACCAUCUAGUAGCUG